rnacentral:tRNA from 1 species
AAAUAAGAAGUAAAAUUUUACAUAUUAAUUUCGACUUAAUAAUAGAUAAUAAAAAAUAUCCUUAUUUU